UACGGAUAUUAUAUGUUAUGUUAAAUUUAUUGUCCUUCAAACAUAUUUUUCGCGAUCUAAUGGUUAUUUAUGCCAAUUAUCACCCUAGGGAUGUUCCGAGUUUGUACCAGUAAGUAAAAAAAAAAGGCGUUUGCAUUUUUUUCCCCUUUCACCUUAAAAAAAAAAUGAAUUUUAGAUGUACAUAAAGACCCUAGCCAUCACUCACUCGUAAUAUUUUUAUCGCAAAAUAUCCCUCGAUUUGCU